rnacentral:rRNA from 1 species
CCUACGGGAGGCAGCAGUGGGGAAUAUUGCACAAUGGGGGAGACCCUGAUGCAGCGACGCCGCGUGAGUGAAGAAGGAUUUCGGUAUGGAAAGCUCUAUCAGCAGGGAAGAAAAUGACGGUACCUGAUUAAGAAGCCACGGCUAACUACGUGCCAGCAGCCGCGGUAAUACGUAGGGGGCAAGCGUUAUCCGGAUUUACUGGGUGUAAAGGGAGCGUAGACGGCAGCACAAGUCUGGAGUGAAAUGCCGGGGCUUAACCCCGGAACUGCUUUUGAAACUGGGCAGCUGGAGUGCAGGAGAGGUAAGUGGAAUUCCUGGUGUAGCGGUGAAAUGCGUAGAUAUUAGGCAGAACACCAGUGGCGAAGGCAGCUUACUGGACUGUAACUGACGUUGAGGCUCGAAAGCGUGGGGAGCAAACAGGAUUAGAUACCCUGGUAGUC